rnacentral:rRNA from 1 species
UACGUAGGGUGCGAGCGUUGUCCGGAAUUAUUGGGCGUAAAGAGCUUGUAGGCGGUUUGUCGCGUCUGCCGUGAAAAUCCGGGGCUCAACCCCGGGCCUGCAUUCGAUACGGGCAGACUAGAGUUCGGUAGGGGAGUCUGGAAUUCCUGGUGUAGCGGUGAAAUGCGCAGAUAUCAGGAGGAACACCGGUGGCGAAGGCGGGACUCUGGGCCGAUACUGACGCUGAGGAGCGAAAGCGUGGGGAGCAAACAGG